UACGGAGGAUCCAAGCGUUAUCCGGAUUUAUUGGGUUUAAAGGGUGCGUAGGCGGCCUUAUAAGUCAGUGGUGAAAUCCUAUCGCUUAACGAUAGACGUGCCAUUGAUACUGUAGGGCUUGAGUACAGAUGCCGUUGGCGGAAUGUGUCAUGUAGCGGUGAAAUGCAUAGAUAUGACACAGAACACCGAUUGCGAAGGCAGCUGACGAAACUGUAACUGACGCUGAUGCACGAAAGCGUGGGGAU
rnacentral:rRNA from 1 species